rnacentral:rRNA from 1 species
ACCGGCGCACGGGUGAGUAACGCGUAUGCAACUUGCCUAUCAGAGGGGGAUAACCCGGCGAAAGUCGGACUAAUACCGCAUGAAGCAGGGAUCCCGCAUGGGGAUAUUUGCUAAAGAUUCAUCGCUGAUAGAUAGGCAUGCGUUCCAUUAGGCAGUUGGCGGGGUAACGGCCCACCAAACCGACGAUGGAUAGGGGUUCUGAGAGGAAGGUCCCCCACAUUGGUACUGAGACACGGACCAAACUCCUACGGGAGGCAGAUG